UACGUAGACCUCGAGCGUUAUCCGGAUUUACUGGGCGUAAAGCGUGCGUAGGUGUUUUCGCAAGUCUCUAGUGAAAUCUCCGGGCUUAACUCGGAAACUGUUAGGGAAACUGCGAGAAUUGAGUAUGGCAGAGGCAGAUGGAAUGGUUAGUGUAGCGGUAAAAUGCGUUGAUAUCAACCAGAACACCAGUGGCGAAGGCGAUCUGCUGGGCCAGUACUGACACUGAGGCACGAAAGCGUGGGUAGCGAACGGG
rnacentral:rRNA from 1 species